GGAAAAAAAGAGUAUUGAAGGGAAGAAGGCUUCAAGGAAGGGCUGUACUAUUUUCAGCUCAUGAAGAAAAAAGGGCUAGGUUCUGGCAGAAUUCAGAUGAUUCUGUGCUCAAGUUAAAAGAUUUUUUUUUGUCAAGUCUAUAAGUGUGAGGAUUUUCUCUGGUCUUACACCUACGGGGGGACAGGCGCUGACCCAGCGCGAUCUUCAUGUGAGGUGCUGCUCUAGGGCUCUGAUGCCACAGACAUGAAGGAGAGGAUGCUAGAUGAGUUUGUCUCCUCCCUGUUGCCGAGGCUUAGGCUAAUAAGUGCAAAUGUAGGACAGAUCUGAGGUCAGAAAAUGAAAGCUCCUUGCCCAGGCUCUCAACAGACUCCUCUGCUUCCCUGAUUUCUGGUCCUGUCCCAGGGGCAAGGAAGAUUAUUUUGGCAGCUUGAUUUAUUGGUGCCUUGUACCAUGGGGACUCUUCUGCAAGAGUUCAGGGGUUAUUCUGCUCCAGAAACCAAUGUGGCUUUAACGAUUUACCUGCUUAUAACCCUGGCAUAUCAGUCAAGAGCAUUUUGAACGUGUCCUAUCAGAGUCUCCCUAACCGUGUCUCCAGGUGUUAUGGAGAUGCACAGCAAGGGGUCAUCAACUUCUCUGCCUCCCUAUCCUGAUACUCAGCGAUGGCUGUUUACUGACCUGCAAAGGAGAGGAAUUAAAGGUUUCAGUCUGGAGUUCAGUUUCUGGAACCCUUUGGUGUUGAAGUAAAAUUGCCACCUGACAUAAUAACGUGGGGCUGGGUGUUCAGCCUAGUGCUUUUAGCCCUGUACUGUGAAAAGCGCAUGGAAGUAAGAUAAACAAAGGCAGUGUAUUCAAAGCAAUAUGUUUAUUUCAGCUACUUUUCUGAAUAGCUGUGGGUAGGUGAGGCACAGCAGUGAAGCAGUUUGCCUAGCAAGAG